AUGUGGGUUUCUCUCCUUUCGUAUCUUUUCAUUUUCUUUUAUUAUCUUGUUUUUUCCUUUUCUUUCUCUUUUAUUAACUCAUUCUUUUCCUUUUCCUAUGUCUUUCUUUUUCUUUUUAAACUUUCUAUAUUUCUUUUUUUUUCUUUUUUCUUUCUUUUCCUUUCCUUCACUUUCUUUUCCUUUCCUUUCUUCUUGCCUCUUCUCACCGCGGGAUCUACUGACAGCGCUGAAAAUCAGACGGCUUUAAUUUUCCUCAGCAGACUAAGCACAGUCAGACUCAAACGGAUGAAAAGAGUCCCCCUUUUCCCUUCCCCUCUCUCCCCGGCGCUUGGAAACUCUUCACGGAGUAGCACGAUCCUGCCGGAGAGCUCUCCCGGGGGCCCUACGCCCCUGUCCGCAGGUGGACGCGCACCCGACGGCUCCCCCCGGGGCCUCUCGCAGGCGUCGGUGCGCCCCGUCCCCGGAGGCAGGAGCCCGGCGCUCGCUUCCCGGGGCGGAGGGACGGCUCGGGAAGCCCCCCCCGGCCCCCCCGGUCCCCCGGCCCGCAGCAGGUCCCUCCCCGCACACGGCCCGUCCGCCCCCCCGGGGCCGUGGCCGAGCUCCGGCCGUGCCCUGCGCGGAGGGCGGCGACACCCGCCGCAGGUGUCCCCGCCAGCCCGGCCCUGUCCCCGUCCCUCCCCGUCCCACCGCCGGCCGGAGCAGAGCCCGGCCGGUGCGCGGAGCCGGUUACUCACCGGGGCGAACACCUCGGGCCUUUGGGCCGCCCGCAGCCCCCCGGCCCCCCGCCCGCCGCCUGCCCCGAGCCCCCCCGACGGCCCCGCGACGCCUCCCGCGGCCCCCGGCCCGGCGGGCGCCCCACGAGCGAGCCUGGACGGGGGGGACCGGGGGACGGGGGGGACACGGCAGACAAAGCGGGGAGUCCCCCCCGCCCCGGUCCCUCCCGUCGCAGCGGGGGCACUUCCCCGGGCCGCCCCCGGCCGCUGCAGCCCGGGGCCAGGCUCGGCCGGCCGCCCCGAGCAGCCCCCCGCAGCCCCCGGUAGCCGGGCUGGGGUUUUAUAUUGGAAAUUAGGGGCAGGGGGAGGAGAUGGCGGGCACGCGGAGCGCUGAGUGUGCGGUGUCAAUCAGAGGGGUUUUGUGUCUCCUCGGCUCCCGAUGGUCCGUGGCUGAGGUGUCCCGGGUGGCACCACAAUGAAUAUGAAUAGGGGUCCUUGCUAAAUGGGACAGUCAAAGCGCACCGCCCUGAAUAAUGGCACGUCAUCCUAACUAGACCAUUAUACAUAGGAGGGCUCCUUUUGUCUCUGCUCUCUGCUGCA
rnacentral:lncRNA from 1 species